AGACUACUUGCAAUUGGAAUGCUUGCUUGGAUAUUAUGGCUAUCUUGAUUUGAUUCCUUGGUAUUCAUAUGAUUUGCUUGGAUAUUUCUUAUGCUUGUUGCUUGCUCAAAGUCCAAAGGAAAAUGGGUUUCUAUAUGGCAUUCUUGUCUUGUGGACUACAUCCCAUUGGUCAGAUCUUUUCAACUCUUAACUUUUAAUUUUUGUCUAGGGUAGCCUCUCCAUCUCCU
rnacentral:lncRNA from 1 species